GGCAAUGCAGGCGACUGUUACGUCAAUGAAGAGAGCCAGAGAGCAAAGAGUAAAUCUUUCCAAAACCGAUACCUAAUUAAAGUGCGAACAUAGAAGUAUUCCAGAAUUUUAAAUAUUAAUCCAAACGAGCAAAACAUAUGCCCUUGUCAGGUUCAGGUUCAGGUACACCUCUUUUGACAAGAAAACAUAGUAAACAAGAAAACAUAGUAACAACAUAAAGAGAAGCAACAUCGAACCCUGGUUGUUGUUCUUCAGUUUAGCCACCCAUUUCAAUCAAAACUUCAGAGUAACAGAAUUCAUAUUUUGUUGAAAGCAACAAUAUCACAGCUCUGAACAUACUUCUGUCACAAACAGUAAGCAGAUGAUCAACAGGGAAGCCAAAAAUAACAUGAUAAAACAUGGAAUUUAAUACUCUGAAACUAAAAAAUUGAACAGUUUAUAAUUUACUUACAUAUUUUGUUGAAAGCAACAAUAUCACAGCUCUGAACAUACUCAUUGAUAGGUUCAACCGUAAAAUAAUUCUCAACAAGAUCGUCCACAGAGACCAAGUCAUCCACAAUGGUAAGCAUGAUUUGCAGCUUCUUAAUACCAUAUCCAACAGGAACAAGUUUAGAUGCUCCAUAAGUCAAUCCUUCCAUCUGAACACUUCGAAUAGCUUCUUCAAGCUUCUUCAUAUCAGUCCUGUGCAAAUAAAACCACAAUGUGAUUGUCAAUUAACACAAACGGUUUAACAGCUUUCCAAGACAACCUCCUAAAUAAUAUUCAGGUUAGAUCAACAAUAUCACAAGAAAGAAAAGCUAAAAGAUACUAGAAUGAUGAAAAAGCAAUUCUCACUUCCAAUAAAAAUAAAAAUUCAACACAAUAGAACAAAGAACAGAAGCUCACAUGCUCCAUAAGUCAAUCCUUCCAUCUGAACACUUCGAAUAGCUUCUUCAAGCUUCUUCAUAUCAGUCUCAUCAUCCCAUGGCUUGACAUCCAAGAGAACUGAGGACUUGCCAG
rnacentral:lncRNA from 1 species